rnacentral:rRNA from 1 species
UUAAAGGAAUUGACGGGGACCCGCACAAGCGGUGGAUGAUGUGGUUUAAUUCGAUGCAACGCGAAAACUUACCCACCUUUGACAUGGCAGGAAUCCUGAAGAGAUUUGGGAGUGCUCGAAAGAGAACCUGCACACAGGUGCUGCAUGGCUGUCGUCAGCUCGUGUCGUGAGAUGUUGGGUUAAGUCCCGCAACGAGCGCAACCCUUGCCAUUAGUUGCUACGAAAGGGCACUCUAAUGAGACUGCCGGUGACAAACCGGAGGAAGGUGGGGAUGACGUCAAGUCCUCAUGGCCCUUAUAGGUGGGGCUACACACGUCAUACAAUGGAUGGUACAAAGGGUCGCCAACCCGCGAGGGGGAGCCAAUCCCAUAAAGCCAUUCGUAGUCCGGAUCGCAGUCUGCAACCCGACUGCGUGAAGUCGGAAUCGCUAGUAAUCGUGGAUCAGAAUGUCACGGUGAAUACGUUCCCGGGUCUU